UACAGAGGGUGCAAGCGUUAAUCGGAAUUACUGGGCGUAAAGCGUGCGUAGUCGGUUAUCUAAGUCGGAUGUGAAAUCCCCGGCUCAACCUGGGAAUUGCAUUCGAUACUGGAUAGCUAGAGUUCGGCAGAGGGAAGUGGAAUUUCGGGUGUAGCGGUGAAAUGCGUAGAUAUCCGAAGGAACAUCAGUGGCGAAAGCGACUUCCUGGACCAGAACUGACGAUCAGGCACGAAAGCGUGGGGAGCAAACAGG
rnacentral:rRNA from 1 species